UUUAUUUAUAUAUUUUUAUCUUAUAUGUAUGAAUGUUGUACCUGCAUAUAAGUAUAUUCAGCACAUGCUUGCAGUUCGCCCAGAGGCAAGAAGAGGUUUUCCGAGUCCCUGGAACCAGAGUUGCACUGACUGGGUUGUAACUGCAGUCCUGUGGCACUUCCACAUCAGAGGAAAGAGGAGGGUAUUGCUUCAUGAGUGAAUGGUGGCUUUACACCUUCAUCACUGUAUUGGCCUCCGCAAAUCUCUGAAUCUCCAGAGAAACUUCAUGUAAUUUCUGGUCAAGACUGGGAUUUGGGUUCUGAGCAGGACUUCAUUGUUGCCUUCUGGCCUGGGAAGGGCAUCACUGAACAGAAACACAUCCAGCUGGAUGGAAGAGGUUGCUGCAAACAGAGUUAUAACCAGCAAAGGAUCCAAGUACUCAGUCACAAAAACCAGGAACAGAGACUUUGGGUAUAGAGCAGUAGCAGGGAGUUUUUUUCAACCCACACAGUCACUUAGUGGAUCCACCUGAGCUGCAGGGUGGCAUAGCGGCUUUUCCUACAUCCACCUUCAGGAGGCAGGUGGGGUCAGCUGUCUGCAGGGGAGGAGGGAUACAUGGCAUAGUGUACAGACUGCUAGUUGUUAGGGAACAGAAAUGGGUGAAUGUCACCGCAGAAAAAUACCUCUGCAGCCUUGAAUGCAACUGAGCGACUUUCACAUGUCCUCAGCAACAACAUGGCAGCUCAGCCAUGCAGAUAUUAAAGCCAAAUGGAGGGAUUUGGGCUUCAUCUACUUGCUGUAUGUUGCAAAGGGAAGGCAGAAAUCAGUCUCUUCAACCAGCACAUGCUGAACCCUGCUAAGUGAUGCCAUCCCAAGGUGUGCUCAGAGGGCAAGGCUCAGCAAGGAAGGCCACCAUGGCCCACGCAGCUCACUUUUACUCAUGCACAGGUCAGUCAGCAAACCCACAGUGGCAUUCUUAAGCCCAAGGCCAUUCCCGUUUCUGGGAGAAACCUGAGCAGGCCCAUCUUGAGUGUGUCAGGGUCAGGACACAGCCUUCAUUCACUUGAGGAAGAGGGAAAAGCUCACAGGUACUACUAACUUUCUCUUCUUUUAAGGUUGAUUUGUACUUAACGUGUGUGUGUGUGUGUGUGUGUGUGCAUGUUUUGUGAGUGUAUGUCACAGGUGUGUUGCUGUCCUUGGAGGCCAGAACAGAGAGGGGGUUUCCCUGAAGCUGAAUGUGCAGGUAGUUGGGAGCUCUCUGAUGUGUGUCCUGAGACUGGAACCCAGGUCCUCUGGAAGAGCAGGAGGUACUCACCUGCUGUGUCAUCUCUUCAGCUCUAGCUACAAACCUUCUUAUGAAUGGACAAGAUGCUUUCCCAAGCUACAGUUUUCUGUACAUUGUGCUUCCAUCUUUCAUGGAGGUGUCUAGAGCAGUGAGAACCUCCUAGAAUUAGCUAGAGGGUCCCCGAUUCUUACUUGCAAGAGGAGGAACACAGUCAGGCCUGUCAAUCUGCAUGUACUUGGGCAAAGACAUCCUGGAAGAUUAGACUCUGGGACACCCCGUGGUUGAUAUUUUGGGAUUUCUCUAGAUUGCAAUGACUUUACUAGAUCUCCUCAUAGGAGUAUAGAUGGCCCACAAACAGCUACACCCGAAAAAGUCCCAACCUAACGUGAAUGGCAACUUCCACAAAGCUUCAAAGAUGGGGUCUUCUCUUUAUUAACUUUCUACCCGCUACAUGCUCUAGUACCUCCUGAGACCACAUGCAGCUGGGAAGGAAGGGUGGCAAGAGGGAGUAAGUGACUCUAGUCUGAGAAGAGGAUCAGAUGACCCCAGCCCCAACCCCUGCGAAUGAGUGCUCAGAAUCCCAACCUUGGCAAACAGACACAGCUGCAGUGGUGAAGGGGAUAUGAUAGCCAUGCUCUGCCCAGAGGAUCGCAAUC